AUGCACUGCUUUCUCUCUAUUUCUUGCCAUCCACUCCUUCCUUCGAGUUAUUCUUUACUUUUUGACUUGGCUUUUUUCUUCUUUUCUCUUUACCUUUCUUCUCUUGUCAUUAUUCGUUUUUCCUUUUGUUUUUUCUUUUUUCAUCUACUGUUUUUUCUUUUCUUUUUUUCUUUUUUUCUUUUUUUCUUUUCUGUCCUCUUUUUUAUUUCUAUUUCUUUUUUCUUUUCUCUUUUCUUUAUCUUUUUUCUUUUUUUAUCUUUUCUCUUUUUUCUCUUUUUUGUUCAUGUUCUUUUUUUCUUUUCUCUUUUUUCUCUUUUUUUCAUUUUUCUCUUUUUACUCUUUUUUGUUCAUUUUUUUUUUUUUCUUUUCUCUUUUUUCUCUUUUUUUCAUUUUUCUCUUUUUACUCUUUUUUGUUCAUUUUUUUCUUUUUUCUUUUCUCUUUUUUCUCUUUUUCUCUUUUUACUCUUUUUUGUUUCAUUUUUUUCUUUUUUUCUUUUUUCAUCUACUGUUUUUUCUUUUCUUUUUUCUUUUUCUUUUUUCAUAUUUUUCUGUCUCUUUUUUAUUUCUAUUUUCUUUUUUCUUUUCUCUUUUCUUUAUCAUUUUUCUUUUUUUAUCUUUUCUCUUUUUUCUCUUUUUUGUUCAUUUUUUCUUUUUUCUUUUCUCUUUUUUCUCUUUUUCUCUUUUUUUUCUCUUUUUACUCUUUUUUGUUCAUUUUUUUCUUUUCAUUUUUUCUCUUUUUCUUAUUUUUCUUUUCUUUUUUUCUCUUUUUUCAUAUUUUUUGUUCUUAUUUUUUCUUUUCUUUUUUCAUCAUAGGUUUGCCUUCAGCCCUCCCCUCAGCCCUUCCCUCCGCUCUGCUCUUCACCCAUCCCCUCCCCAUCCCCAUCCCUUCUUUCUCCCUUACCCCCCCUUUCCCCUUGCCUUUGCCUCCCAUUACCUUGCCUGCCCUUCACUUACCUUCUCCUCACUUCCUGCUUCUUGAUGCUCUGGGCUUUUGCUGCUACUCACGCCAAACCUCAACACUUGCCUACUCUGCUUGCUGCUCUGCCAAGUUGCUCUCUACUCUGCUCGCAGCUUCACGCCUACUGCCUGCCCUUCUCUAUCCCCUUCUCGUGCCCUUCAGGCUUUUCCUCCCCUUGCUGAGCAAGGCCAUGCCCGGUAGCUACCCUUGAACCUCCUCCGCCCUUUGCCUUCCUCCACAGAGAUGCUUGCUUCUGGCCAGCACUCCUGCCCGGUGCCUAGCCCACCACCUCAUCUCUUGGGGAGAUAGCAAGGUGGCCUGUAGCUACCCACACCUCCUCCCGGGCAUGGCUUCUCAGCUUUGCUUCAAGCCCAGAACCCAAAGGAGCUCCUCUUACCUUUUGGCCCACGUUCUUCUCCUCCCGCGCAGCUCCUGUGGCAAGCAGGGGCACAGCUCUGGACAGAUUCCUCCAUUCCUGCAAGGUUGCUUUUUGUCAUUCUUUGCCUUCUUUUGCUUUGCUCUCUUUUGCUGUGCUAUGCCUAGCUUUCCUACUUGCUUGCUCUGUAUUUACAUGCAUUGCUUUUUACUUGUUAUUCUCUUUUUUCCUCUGUUUCAUUAUUUUCCCUUCAACCCUCCCCCUUCCCUCACCC
rnacentral:lncRNA from 7 species